UACGAGGGGGGCGAGCGUUGUUCGGAAUUAUUGGGCGUAAAGGGUGCGUAGGCGGUUUGGUAAGUCUUGUGUGAAAUCUUCGGGCUCAACUCGAAGUCUGCACGAGAAACUGCCGGGCUUGAGUAUGGGAGAGGUGAGUGGAAUUCCCGGUGUAGCGGUGAAAUGCGUAGAGAUCCGGAAGAACACCAGUGGCGAAGGCGGCCCGCUGGGCAGUGGCUGACGCUGAGGCGCGACAGCGUGGGGAGCAAACAGG
rnacentral:rRNA from 1 species